GUACGAAGGGGCGAGGCGUUGUUCGGAUUUACUGGGCGUAAGCGUGCGCAGGCGGUUUUGUAAGUCUGUCGUGAAAUCCCCGGGCUUAACCUGGGAAUGGCGAUGGAGACGUGCAAGGCUAGAAUCUGGCAGAGGGGGGUAAGAAUUCCGACGUGUGAGCAGUUGAAAUGCGUAGAGAUAGUGGAGGAACACCGAUGGCGAAGGCAGCCCC
rnacentral:rRNA from 1 species